rnacentral:rRNA from 1 species
UACGGAGGGUGCAAGCGUUAUCCGGAUUUAUUGGGUUUAAAGGGUGCGCAGGCGGGGCUUUAAGUCAGUGGUGAAAUCUCUUCGCUUAACGAAGAAACUGCCAUUGAUACUGAAGUUCUUGAAUCUAGUUGACGUUAGUGGAAUGUGUCAUGUAGCGGUGAAAUGCUUAGAUAUGACACAGAACACCGAUCGCGAAGGCAGCUAACGAAGCUAGUAUUGACGCUCAGGCACGAACAGCAUGGGGGAGCAAACAGG